UACGUAGGGAGCAAGCGUUGUCCGGAAUCACUGGGCGUAAAGGGAGCGUAGGCGGGUUCUUAAGUUAGGUGUUUAAUCCCGGGGCCCAACCCCGGACCGGCACUUAAAACUGGGAAUCUUGAAUAGUGGAGAGGUCGGUGGAAUUGGAGGUGUAGCGGUGGAAUGCGUAGAGAUCUCCAAGAACACCAGUUGCGAAGGCGGCCGACUGGACACAUAUUGACGCUGAGGCUCGAAAGCAUGGGGAGCAAACAGG
rnacentral:rRNA from 1 species